AGCGAACGCUGGCGGCAGGCUUAACACAUGCAAGUCGAGCGGGCACUUCGGUGUCAGCGGCAGACGGGUGAGUAACACGUGGGAACGUACCCUUUGGUUCGGAAUAACGCUGGGAAACUAGCGCUAAUACCGGAUACGCCCUUUUGGGGAAAGGCUUGCUGCCGAAGGAGCGGCCCGCGUCUGAUUAGCUAGUUGGUGGGGUAAUGGCCUACCAAGGCGACGAUCAGUAGCUGGUCUGAGAGGAUGAUCAGCCACACUGGGACUGAGACACGGCCCAGACUCCUACGGGAGGCAGCAGUGGGGAAUAUUGGACAAUGGGCGCAAGCCUGAUCCAGCCAUGCCGCGUGAGUGAUGAAGGCCUUAGGGUUGUAAAGCUCUUUUGUCCGGGACGAUAAUGACGGUACCGGAAGAAUAAGCCCCGGCUAACUUCGUG
rnacentral:rRNA from 1 species